rnacentral:tRNA from 1 species
GGGCGCGUGGUGGAAUGGCAUACACAACAGACUUAAAAUCUGUCGGCCGAGAGGCCUUGCGGGUUCGAUGCCCGCCGCGCCCACCA